AAGCAUAUUAGCGGAAGUUUUCGGAUGGAAGCGGAUAUGACUUAGCGGCGGACGGGUGAGUAACGCGUGGAUAACCUGCCUCAUACAGGGGGAUAACAGUUAGAAAUGACUGCUAAUACCGCAUAAGCGCACAGGACCGCAUGGUCCGGUGUGAAAAACUCCGGUGGUAUGGGAUGGAUCCGCGUCUGAUUAGCUGGUUGGUGAGGUAACGGCCCACCAAGGCGACGAUCAGUAGCCGACCUGAGAGGGUGGCCGGCCACAUUGGGACUGAGACACGGCCCAAACUCCUACGGGAGGCAGCAGUGGGGAAUAUUGCACAAUGGGGGAAACCCUGAUGCAGCGACGCCGCGUGAGUGAGGAAGUAUUUCGGUAUGUAAAGCUCUAUCAGCAGGGAAGAAAAUGACGGUACCUGACUAAGAAGCCCCGGCUAACUACGUGCCAGCAGCCGCGGUAAUACGUAGGGGGCAAGCGUUAUCCGGAUUUACUGGGUGUAAAGGGAGCGUAGACGGCUAAUCAAGUCAGAAGUGAAAACCCAGGGCUCAACCUUGGGACUGCUUUUGAAACUGAGUAGCUAGAGUGCAGGAGAGGUAAGCGGAAUUCCUAGUGUAGCGGUGAAAUGCGUAGAUAUUAGGAGGAACACCAGUGGCGAAGGCGGCUUACUGGACUGUAACUGACGUUGAGGCUCGAAAGCGUGGGGAGCAAACAGGAUUAGAUACCCUGGUAGU
rnacentral:rRNA from 1 species